rnacentral:lncRNA from 1 species
CAUGGGCAUGUGCUGGUGGAGCUAAGCCUCGGUGGGAGUCGCUGCAAAACUUCCCCGUUUGAGCUGUCUGAUAGUGUCAGAACAGCAGCCGACACAGGUGGGACCUGAAGAAGCCACUGGAGGGAAUUUUGGGAAGGAACUUGUGAUGUGCACUUUGGACUGAAAUCAAAUCUUGAAAUAGUGAUGUGUCAGGAGAAGCAGAAGCCUUACGCUCUGAGUGCGAUUGUAAAACUUUCUGCUGCAGCUUCUAAUCAGGUAUGUCUCUGUUGGGGUUCUAGACAUUCCUUAGAGAUCCUCCCCAAGCUUAUAUACCAAAAAGGUAAGAUCUGAACAGCAAAGUUUAUCUGUAGAAAUUUGAUUGCAGACAGUUACAGAAUUAUUUGAAGGUUUACCAAGUACUGCAGAGCAGUAGUAAAUAAGUAAAAGCAGAAGGAUAAGCUGCACUAUUUAACAACCCAUUUAUUGUAUUUGACUAAUUAGAACAUAAAGCCGUUUCAGCAGUAAGCUGAAGUUGCUUCGUGUAGCAUAAAUGCAUUUACUUCAGCAGUACAUAAUAAAAAUCCUAGACCUUUAAUGCCA